AAUUAAGUAUGCCAACAUGAUACUCAAGGUCAAUUUGAAUCAUAUCCUAGUUGUCAAUCUCAAAACUGCCAUUAGGUUCAUGAUUAAAUAAAAACCUUGCACAUGUUCUGAAGUUUUAUAUGCUAAUAAUAGUGAUAAAAAAGUUAGUUGUGUUUCCUCUACUGAGGACUAGUGAAUUAAUUAGUAUUAAACUUGGGAAACUAACACGCAUUAAUCCCGAUUAAAGAAUUAGAUAUGAAAUUAAGAACACUGCAAAUGUAGCCAUCAUUAUGUACUAAUUGUAUUAAUACCCAAACAGGAAGAUUCCUCUUGCCUCUAAUUGAUCCACAGAAGGCACACAGAUUCCAAAGCUGCAUGUUAUUGUAGAAUAGAAUAGCUUCUUUGUCUGCAAACAAAAGAUAUAAUUGCCAUUAAGAUGCAUGAUCUGCAAAGAUUGAAAUUUUAAAUUAGGAACAUGCAGCGAUGCUGUUUAUCCAUGUGAUUCCAAGAAUAAUAUAUAAGGAUGAGUUGGUAGUUUGGUGCAUCUGAACCAUUGCCGCUUCAGCCAGAGAAUAGCAACGAAGCUGAUAACCAAAUCAAGAUGAUAUAAUUGUUAUAGAUUACAGUAUAUUGAUCAUGAUUGUGAUGCUUCAGAUUAUUUUAUAUCUGACUAUCUAUUUUUCUUGAUCAAAUAUUCAAUGUACACGGUUGUUAAAUCAAAGCUCAGAUCUCACAUUUAUUCACAAUCAAGUAGUUUUAUUUUGUAAGUUAGACAUGAAAUGAUAUUCAAAGAUAAAAAAAUUGGUGAUCAUGAUUCAUGAAGAUUUGAAAAAUGGGUUGGUCUCUUUUUCACUUACACUUAUAGCUUUAUUUUAAUGCAUGGAAACAACAACUAAUGCAGUUGUUGUCUCUUCAAUAGAGACAUGCUUAGAAGUAUUGCAGCCAUUGUUUUUUCCAUCAGAGUAGUCCACACGUGUAUGCAGAUAGAAUAUGAAUUGCAUCGAAAAUAUCAUAAUCAUGGAAGUGAGAGAGCAAAAAGAAACAAAGUAUUAGUUGGACAGUUUCUUCAUGUGAGACACUAUAACAUUUUUAUGGCAAUGUUUAGAUCCAAAUCUUGAUAAGUUGGCACUUAUUGAUAUUUGUUUAAGAUUAGAUUCCUUUUCUCUCUAACACUCAUAAUAUAUAUUGGAAAAAUGACAUUCAAAGAAGGUAGAUCCAAAAACUGAAGUCUACAAUCUAAUCAAAGCUAGCUUCUAUUGUCCUUAGAAAAAAUGGAAGCCUUACCUUUGGAUACAAAGUCCCAUUUCCAUGCUCGUUCGAACAGUUUGCCCUCUAUACCACAUCCACUUGUUCUACAAUGCAAUGACCACUUGGAAAGGCU
rnacentral:lncRNA from 1 species